rnacentral:lncRNA from 1 species
GAGAGACUUCUUUUGGAAUGGAGGACUCAACUCACCUGGUAAGGGAUGCCUAAUUUCCUGGAAGAGCGUUUGUAGGAGUAAGAAAGAGGGAAGACUCAGCAUCCUCAAUAUAGCCACGAUGAACCGAGAUCUUUUAGUCAAAUGGUAGUGGAAAUUCCAUACUGUGCCUCAGUUGCAAUGGAACAAGAUAAUCCAUGCCUUGUUC